rnacentral:rRNA from 1 species
CAGUCGCCGCGGUAAUACGGAGGGUGCAAGCGUUGUCCGGAUUUAUUGGGUUUAAAGGGUGCGUAGGCGGCUAUUUAAGUCAGCGGUGAAAGACUCCGGCUCAACCGGAGCAGUGCCAUUGAUACUGGAUAGCUUGAGUGUUGGAGGGGUACAUGGAAUUGAUGGUGUAGCGGUGAAAUGCAUAGAUACCAUCAGGAACACCGAUAGCGAAGGCAUUGUACUGGCCAACAACUGACGCUGAGGCACGAAAGCAUGGGGAGCGAACAGGAUUAGAUACCCCGGUAGUCCCUGUCUCUUAUAC